rnacentral:rRNA from 1 species
UACAGAGGUCCCGAGCGUUGUUCGGAUUCAUUGGGCGUAAAGGGUGCGUAGGCGGCGGGGUAAGUUUGAUGUGAAAUUCCGGGGCUCAACCCUGGCAUGGCAUUGAAUACUACCUUGCUAGAGUACCGGAGAGGAAACUGGAAUUUACGGUGUAGCAGUGAAAUUCGUAGAUAUUCGCAAGAACACCAGUGGCGAAGGCGGCUCACUGGCCCAUUACUGACGCUGAGGCACGAAAGCGUGGGGAGCAAACAGG